AAGUAUUAAAAUAGUUUUGUUUGUGGAAACACCACGUAAAUUUAUUACUGCAAAGUAAUACAUGCAGUAAAAAUUUACGUGGUGUUUCCACAAACAAAACUAUUAUAUUUUAUCGCCAUGCAA